GGCGGUGUAGCUCAGCUGGCUAGAGCAUUCGGUUCAUACCCGAAAGGACGUGGGUUCGACUCCCUCCGCCGCUA
rnacentral:tRNA from 1 species